UGGAGUCUGAUGACCAAGGGCAGGAAGCAUCCAGCACGGGACAAAGAAGAAAGCCAGAAGACUCAGCAAGCCAGCUCAUCUCACUUUCUUCUGCCUACUUUGUUGUAGCUGAGCUGGCAGCCAGUUGGAUGGUGCACACUCACAUUGAGGAUUGGGAGGCUGCUGUGUAUGGAUAAGAUACCUGCUACAGCCAGCUUGACACCAUGAGAAGGACAAGAGAAUUGCAGAGACACAUAUCCAGGAUUCUGAUCCAGUUGAGGCACUGAAAUAAUCUAGAACCACCUUCAAAUUUCUUAUAAAGAGAGCUAUGCUAUUAGGAUUUAAUUAAAUGGAUGCCAACAGCAAGUAAACCAUCUCCAAAGAUGCCAUGAAGCUCUCCUAAUUGCAGGAAAAUAUCAGAGGCACUUGAUUUGAGUCUUUCAAGUACGGAAAUAACAAAUUCAGUCUCAACAGACCUAUAGUGAAUGAGAAUGAUUGUCACAUAAUGUGUAGAGAAAAUGGAAGAAUCAAAGGCAAGGGAAACCUGUACAGUGGAGACACAAAGGGUCACUGGCAGAUUUCAAAUGAUCCAAGACAUCCUCAAGGAAGAUUUACCACAAGUUACUUUAUCAUAGCUUUGAGUGGCAUUUUAAUAUCAUAUUUUAAAAGAAAGAAAACAAUAGAAAUGUAUUAAAAUAUCUUCUCAAGAAUCCUUCCAAACCACAAGGAAAAUCACCAGGCCAAAAGUGAGGUUUGAAGUCUGGACAUGUACUGGUUUUCUCUAGCAAUCGACUCUCAAUUUUUGGACAUUGAGAUCUGCUGGUUGGAGAUCUUAGUGCCCAAGGAAGAAUGCUUGCAAAAGGAGAUGGAACAGUGUUUCUGUUGCAUUGGCCACUGAGAAUAUCUGGUUAUUUUGAAUUUGUCACAGUCUGCAGCUAAAAGGCGAACAGGAAAAGAAGAGAGAGCGGUAAUUUGAAUGAUAGCAGAUUUCACAUCAGGAACCAAUGAAGCUAGAUAAGAAUGCAACAUCUUUGAUGUCUAAAAGAAACAAAAAGCCAACCUUGAAUUCUUUAUUUAGUGAAGUUACCCUUCAGAAAUGACGGCAAAAUAAAGAUGUUUUCCAAUAAAAGACAACUAUGAGAAUUCUUCACCAGCAGUCCUAUUGUAUCAGAACAGCCAAAAGAAGUUUGUCAGCCUACAGGGAAUUAUAUCAAAGGGAAGACUUGACCUUGAAAAUGAAUGAGGAAUAUAAGAAAUUGAUAUUAUCUGGGAAGCGGCACAUGAGACUAGCAGGAGUAAAUGUUAUAUACACUGGGCCUCGCAAAAAUUCUGCAAUCACUGGGAAUCAGUAACCUGGUAGAAUGAGAAAACAACGUAAUACUGAAAAAUCAAAACACCAUCCUACAGAACUUUGAUGCAUUCAGAACAAAGCAAUCAAACAUCAAGUAAUACUCUCAAUAAAGAUGUGUAAUUAAAACAGAAGAGGAAACAGACUAACAGAAGUGAUGAAGAAUGGCAGUUCUAAGGAUGGCAGGAAUUCACUGAAUGUCUAUCUAUCAUGUAUGCUGUUGGAGGCACCUGUCUUUCAGUUCAGAGGUUAUGGAUGUAUCUAUCAUCAGUAUUUCGGGAAGUCAGGGACCCGGAACAGAGGGACUUAAUGAAGCUGUGGCAGAAGAAAAAAUUAUGAAGAUUUCAUGGACAUUUAUUAGUUCCCCAAAUUAAUACUUUUAUAAUUUCUUACA
rnacentral:lncRNA from 1 species